UCAAAAGGUCUCAUGAAGAAAGUGAAAAGGCAAACCACAGGCAUAGGGACAAUGUCUGUAAUGCAUGUAUCUGAGGAAGGACUGGUACCUCUAAUACAUGACUGAAUUUAAAAAUGGUCAAAAAAUGGGGUGUGUAAGACUCGAAUGGGCAUUGCAUGAAAGUGCGAUGACCGACUGCUGUAGCUCCUGGUGGUUGUGGCCGCUUUGCCGGCGACUGUGAAGCGCGGAACUGCUCCUGUGGAGGCCGUUGAGUCUGCCGAAACUCGCCACCAUGAGCAGCACCCUAGCUAAGAUCGCGGAGAUCGAAGCCGAGAUGGCUCGGACUCAGAAGAACAAGGCCACAGCACACCACCUAGGGUUGCUUAAGGCUCGUCUUGCUAAGCUUCGCAGGGAGCUCAUUACUCCAAAUGGUGGUGGUGGUGGAGAACCAGGAGAAGGAUUUGAUGUUGCCAAGACAGGUGAUGCUCAAAUUGGGUUUGUGGGGUUUCCAUCUGUGGGGAAGUCAACACUGCUCAGUAACCUGGCAGGGGUAUACUCGGAGGUCGCAGCCUGUGAGUUCACUACUCUGACCACUGUGCCUGGUGUCAUCAGAUACAAAGGUGCUAAGAUCCAGCUUCUGGAUCUCCCAGGUAUCAUUGAGGGUGCCAAGGAUGGGAAAGGUAGAGGCCGUCAAGUCAUUGCAGUGGUCAGAACGUGUAACUUGAUCUUGAUUGUUCUGGAUGUCCUGAAACCCUUGGGACAUAAGAAGAUAAUUGAAAAUGAGCUGGAAGGCUUUGGCAUUCGCUUGAACAGCAAACCCCCCAACAUUGGCUUUAAGAAGAAGGAUAAAGGAGGCAUUAAUCUCACAGCCACUUGCCCUCAGAGUGAGCUGGAUGCUGAAACUGUGAAGAGCAUUCUGUCUGAGUACAAAAUCCAUAAUGCUGAUGUGACUCUGCGUAGUGAUGCCACAGCAGAUAAUCUCAUUGAUGUGGUGGAAGGAAACAGAGUCUAUAUCCUGUGUAUCUAUGUGUUAAAUAAGAUUGAUCAGAUCUCCAUUGAGGAAUUGGAUAUUAUUUAUAAGAUGCCUCACUGUGUUCCCAUCUCUGCCCAUCACCGCUGGAAUUUUGACGACCUGUUGGAAAAGAUCUGGGACUAUCUGAAACUAGUGAGGAUUUAUACCAAACCCAAAGGCCAGUUGCCCGAUUACACGUCCCCAGUGGUGCUGCCUUACUCCAGGACCACAGUGGAGGAUUUCUGCAUGAAGAUUCACAAAAAUCUUAUCAAAGAAUUUAAAUAUGCUUUGGUGUGGGGUCUCUCUGUGAAACGCAAUCCUCAAAAAGUGGGUAAAGACCAUACAUUGGAGGAUGAAGAUGUCAUUCAGAUUGUGAAGAAGUGAUGCCAUCCCCUUCCCCAUCUGCCGGGCCAACCCUAGCAGCUUUCUCCAUGAUCAAACACCUGACUCCAAGCCCCUCCUGGGUUUGACAGGCUCUGGAUCAGGAUACAGGGAGGAAGAUGGAAGCACCCAAAUUGGAACUUCACUUGUCUUAACUUGGUGUCACCUUAUGUGUUGAGCUGCAUAAAGGACCUGGUAGGCCAGCUGACUAUGUAAAAAAAAAAGAAAAGAAAGAAAGUGCGAUGACCAAUAAACCUCUAAUGACCACUAAACCUAUGAAAGGUGCUACUUUCUCAGAGUAGGUUUAAUUAGCAUUGUUUAUCAAGACUGAGGCCGAAAAUCUCUGUUUAACAUUUAUUUGCCCUUCAUUUUUGUGUAGAUUGUUUAUCCUCAUGAUAUGCCCAUUGUUACCCAGGAAGAUGCAAAUGAAAACCAUAAGUUAUUACUAUAUACACACCAGAAUGACCAAAAUUUAAAGGACUGACAAUGUCAAGUGUUGGUGAGGAGCAACUAGAAUUCUCCUAUUUUGCUGGUGAGGGUGUAAAGUGUUACAUCUACUUUGGAAAACUGUUCCACCUUGUCUGAUAAAGUUAAGCAAAUCUCCAUGCUAUGACUAAUCAAUCCCAUUCAUAGGUUUAUACCCAAGAAAAAAAGAAUACACGUAUCUACAAAAAGACAAAAAAAGACUCGUAGAAGCAUGUCCAUAGCACCUUUAUUCAUAAUAGCCCUAAAUAAAUACCCUUCAGCAGGAUAAACAAAUUGUGAUAGAUUCAUACAA